UUAGGUUCUUCGACAUACA
rnacentral:rRNA from 1 species